UACAGAGGGUGCAAGCGUUAAUCGGAUUUACUGGGCGUAAAGGGCGCGUAGGUGGUUACAUAAGUGAGAGGUGAAAUCCCCGGGCUUAACCUGGGAACUGCCUCUUAUACUGUGUAGCUGGAGUGAAGUAGAGGGUAGUGGAAUUUCCGGUGUAGCGGUGAAAUGCGUAGAUAUCGGAAGGAACACCAGUGGCGAAGGCGGCUACCUGGACUUUUACUGACACUGAGGCGCGAGAGCGUGGGUAGCAAACAGG
rnacentral:rRNA from 1 species